rnacentral:rRNA from 1 species
UACGGGGGGGGCAAGCGUUGUUCGGAAUUACUGGGCGUAAAGGGCUCGUAGGCGGCCAACUAAGUCGGAUGUGAAAUCCCCAGGCUUAACCUGGGAACUGCAUCUGAUACUGGAUGGCUUGAAUCCGGGAGAGGGAUGCAGAAUUCCAGGUGUAGCGGUGAAAUGCGUAGAUAUCUGGAGGAACACCGGUGGCGAAGGCGGGUCUCUGGGCAGUUACUGACGCUGAGGAGCGAAAGCGUGGGGAGCGAACAGG